rnacentral:lncRNA from 1 species
AUUUAUUUACUUCAAGAGUUAAGAGUGGCGGUUUGGGGAUAGCACGAGGAGAUAUCAGCUGUGAUGGCUUGGAGAAACAGUGUAAACCGGCAGUGUAAACAAGAGCAGGGCAUGUAUGAGUAGUUGAGAACGGAGAAUAGGAGUAUGACUAGACAGAAGAUAGUAGGGAUGACAAGUUUUUUUUGGGGCACACUCUAAGUUGGUCCGGUGUUUGGAAUGAGACUGGGGCCUAAUAAAAAGGAGCAUCUAUACAGGAGCCCAAAUGGGCUGUACCUUGUAGCAUUCUGAGGACGGGUCUGACUUCUGAGAAGGGAAAGUGGUAAAAGUAUUGUCCAGUUCUUUUUAAGUUGGUGGCUGAGCUUGGUGAGGUGUGUUUUUGAAAGACCUUUAGUCCGUUCUACUUUUCUUGAAGACAGACGACUAUAAGGGAUAUAAAGGUUUCACUGAAUACUAAGAGCCUGAAAAACUGCUUGGCUGAUUUGACUAAUAAAGGUUGGUCUGUUAUCAGACUGUAUAGAGGUGGGAAGGCUAAACUGAGGGAUUAUGUCUGACAGAAGGGAAGAAAUGACUGCAGUGGCCUUCUCAGACCCUGUAGGAAAGGCCUCUACCUAUCUAGUGAAAGUGUCUACUUAGACUAAGAGGUAUUUUAGUUUUUGUGACUCAGGGCAUGUUGAGUAAAGCUAAUUUGCCAGUUCCGGGGGCGGGGGCAGGGGGCAAAUCCUCAAGUUUGAUGUGUAGGGAAGGGAGGGGUCCUGAAUAAUCCUUGAGGAGUAGUAGAAUAGCAGAUAGAAUAGCAGAUGGAACACUGAGAAAUUAUUUCCUUGAGGAUAGAUUUCUACAAUGGAAAGGAAAUGAGAGGUUCUAAGAGGCGGGCUAGUGGCUUGUACUAUAGCAUAGCCUGCCUUUGCUGGUGUGUGGCGAUUAGGCCUGGUGGAACUGCCAUCAAUAAAUCAAGCGUGAUCAGGGUGAGGAACAGGAAAGAAGGAAAUAUGGGGAAAUGUGGUGAAUGUCAGGUGGAUCAGAGACAUACAGUCAUGGGGGUCAGGUGUGGUAUCAGGAAUAAUGUGGGAGGCCAGAUUGAAGUCUGGGCCAGGAACAAUGGUAAUUGUGGGACUUAACAAAGAGUGAGUACAGCUGAAGGAGCCGGGGAGCAGAAAGUAUAUGCAUCAGGUAUGAGGAAGAAAAUAGAUUUUGGAAGUUAUGAGAAAUGUAGAGAGUAAGUUGAGCAUAGUUUAUGAUUUUUAGGGCCUCUAAAAGUAUUAGGGUGGCAGCAGCCGCUGCACGGAGACAUGAGGGCUAGGCUAAAACAGUAAGGUCAAGUUGUUUGGACAGAAAGGCUACAGGGUGCGGUCCUGGCUCUUGUGUAAGAAUUCUGACCACACUAACCAUGCCUAGGAAGGAAAGGAGUUGUUGUUUUGUAAGGGAUUGAGGUUGGGGAGAUUAAUUGGACACGAUCAGCAGGGAGAGCACCUGUGUUUUUAUGAGAAUUAUGCUGAGAUAGGUAACAGAUGAGGGUGAAAUUUGGGCUUGACUGAAGUAAUGGGGGCUGUCUGUGAAGCCUUGCGGCAGUACAGCCCAGGUAAUUUGCUGAGCCUAAUGGGUGUUAGGGUCAGUCCAGCUGAAAGCGAAGAGAGGCUGGGAUGAUGGGUGCAAAGGAAUAGUAAAGAAAACAUGUUUGAGAUCCAGAACAGAAUAAUGGAUUGUGGAGGGAGGUAUUGAGGAUAGGAGAGUAUAUGGGUUUGGCACCAUAGGGUGGAUAGGCAAAACAAUUUGGUUGAUAAGGCAUAGAUCCCGAACUAACUUGGAAGGCUUGUCUGGUUUUAGGACAGGUAUAAUGGGGGAAUUGUAAGGAGAGUUUAUAGGCUUUAAAAGGCCAUGCUGUAGCACGCAAGUGAUAACAGGCUUUAAUCCUUUCAAAGCAUGGUGUGGGAUGAGAUAUUGGCAUUGAGCGGGGUAAGGGUGAUUAGGUUUUAAUGAGAUAGUAAGGGGUGCAUGAUCAGUUACCAAGGAGGGAGUAGAGGUAUCUUAUUCCUGUGGGUUAAGGUGGGGGAAUACAAGAGGAGGACGCAAAGGAGGCUUUGGAUUGGGAAGAAGGGCAGCAAUGAGAUGUAGCUGUAAUCCAGGACUAGUCAGGGAAGCAGAUAAUUUAGUUAAAGUGUCUCGGCCUAAUAAGGGAACUGAGCAGGUGGGGAUAACUAAAAGAGUGCUUAGAAGAGUAUUGUCUCAGUUGGCACCAGAGUUGGGGAGUUUUAAGAGGUUUAGAAGCCUGGCCGUCAAUACCUACAACAGUUACGGAGGCAAGGGAAACAGGCCCUUGAAAAGAAGGUAAUGUGGAGUGGGUAGGCUCCAUAUUGAUUAAGGGGACGGACUUACCUUCCACUGUGAGAGUUACUCGAAGCUCAGCGUCUGUGAUGAUCUAUGGGGCUUUCGAGGUGAUCGGGCAGCGUCAGUCUUCAGCUGCUAAGCCGAGAAGGAGUCAGAGAGCCUUGGGCCAGAAUUCCAGGGGCUCUGGGAGUGCCUGCCAGGCUGGAGGGCAAUGGCGUGGUUUUGCUCACUGCAACCUCCGCCUUCCAGGUUCAAGGAUUCUUCUGCAUCAGCCUUGCAAUUAGCUAGGAAUACAGAAAGUGAUGGCCCAAUUAUUGAAAAAUUUGAGUUUCAUUUCAUUGUGAUUGGAAGAGACACACUCCAUCCACUCUCUAUGAAAAGCAUCCGUGUACCUUCUUCCUCUUGGUCACUAGACAAGAGCCUGGAACUCACUGAACUGUGGGAGUGAAAGAGCUGUAACUCUCCUGCUCUCUGAUCUAUGGACAGGGGGACUAAAAGAGCUAUAACACUCCUGCCUUGCAAACUACAGUAGUAAAAAAGAAACACAAAAGUACCAUCAAAAGUUUCUGGUGAAAAUUGAAUUACCAAAAACAUUGAAAGUGCUUAAAACAGUACCUGCAACAUAGUAAGAGCUCAACAAACGUUAUUCAUUUAUGUUCAUAAUUUGGAUUGAUAAAUUACCCUACUGAAAAAUAAAUACUUUCAGAUUGAAUUUAAAAGCAAUAAUAAAAUCUCUUGAUGCUUAAAAGAGAUGAACAAGACAGCAAAUAAACUUCAAUGCUGAAAAUAAGAACAAUAUACAAAUUUUUAUCAAGGAAAUCUCAGGGACCCUGUAAACAGUCGUUCUGUUCAUAUUUGUUGUUGUUUCUUUAGAGGAGGGCAUCUAGGCAAUAAGAAAACUGGAAUGUGAAAUCUAUCUACUUUUCUGUUUCCAAAGCUCAGAAUUAUGUUAAUUUUACUGAACCAACUAACAGGAGGGGUGACUUUUUGUCAUUUAUAGAAAAGCAUUAUAGAUAAUAUUCAGGGGAUUCACUAAAAUAACAAGACACUCUGUGCAAUUGCCUAUUGGUAUUUGAGUUCCAGUGUAAAACCUAAAAUAAUUUGUUUAAAGUUAAAACAGUAUAACAACAUGACUUUAAAAGUUAUUACUUCACAUUCCAAGAUCAGAGAUCCUACCAUCUCUGGGGCCUGCCAAAAGUCGAUGAUACAGUCAUUUCAGCAGAAUCAUUCACUUGAUUACAUAAAGGGAAGAUUGGGAAAGAAAAGAUGGUGACUUUUGAGGAGAGUGCAGAGUGCCUAAAGGAAGAUCAUUGUGCUUCUCUAUCUGCUGUGAUAAAGGGGAGAGAGGGACACUUCUCUCUAGCAAAAGAUCUGCUUCUUCUGGACUUUGGACACAAGCUUAGGAAAGAAUUGGCAGAGCUGAUAGAGAGUGUCAUUAGCAGAAGCAUGCAUUUCCACCAUGUGGUUUGAAAAGUACCUAUGAAAUUUGCUGGGUUUGAUGGACGCCACUGAGGGGAACCUGACUUGAAGCAUCUUACUACUGCCCCUCCUGGAACCACUCUGUGCAUAGGAAUACUCAACUGAUGACAAUGAGUGAUUUAUGACACAACUGAAAAGAGAAGGAAGAAGCCGAGCCUAUGCUGGGAAUUCUAUGCCCAGAGUCUGCAUAGUGUACAGCUUUAUAAAACCCCUAAAUGUGUCUGACACAGAGUUUUCAUUUGGACUUGCAGCCUUAGGAAGGAGCAACAGCCUGCAGAAAUUCUUGUGAUAUUUUCAACGUACUUUAAGUGAGACACUGAAAAUUUGCUACUCUCCCAAUAAUAUUACGAAUUAUGAAGUCAUGACUCAUCUUUUCCAUUAUAUAGCUUUAUGAAAUUCACUUAAAGAUGAUUAUUUAAAAGCGUGUUUAGUAGGUAAGAAUAUACUAAGAAGAUAUUAUUAAAUGGUUUAAUUAUAUCAUGAAUCCUUUUAUAGUUUAGGAAUGUUAUUUUUAAUUAGCAAUUCUAGACAUGACUGGAUGGUGAGAACCAAGAUCAUAAUGCCAGCUGUGUUUGGCUAGCAUUAGAUGUGAUCUUCUGUUGAUCUUGGUUUGAGCCUUAAUCUUAUCCUCCUUUGUUGCUAUUGGAUGGUAAAAGCACCAUAAUGUUGAUCGUGCCAAAAAGGAAUAUUUAAACACUAACACUGCUCAAAGGUCUGAGAACUUAAGCUAACAAAAUUAUGGUUCUUUUUUUCCUCUCUUUCUGGCAUUUGGUUAAAUAGCUUCUAAUUACCCAAUUUGGGAGAAGUUCUGAAACCAUGUCCCAAAGAGUUAAAGCAACCAGUGACUAACAGAAAUUCUUGAGUUUGCAGAAUGGUGGAUAAGAAAGGAAACAACUUGCUAAAACACUGAAACUCCCUCCACUUAUGAGAUAAAAGAACUGGCUGAAAUCAGUUUGGUCAACUGGAGUUUGUGCGGAAGUAGCUUGCUGACAUCAUAGCCUGAAUUUUCAUUGCAUGUCUCAUACCAACUCCCUCCAGAAUCUGCACAUGCAAAUGAGUUAGCAUAAAAAAGGUAACUGUGCAUGCCCAAGGACUUUCCAGACCUCUCCUUUCCUUCCACCAAUAAAACCUGAUAAUCUCAGAAUCCAACCCCUGAAUCUUUUCUAAUGAAAAUAUAGUCUUGAAGCCAGCACAGGGAGACAGCUUGGAGCUUGACUCCUGUCUCCUCGGGAGUGGACUUUCAAUAUAAAGCUUUUCUGUCCUCAAAAACCUGGUAUAGUAUUGGCUUCUAGCGUAUUCAGCAGCAAGCCCCUUUUGCUUGAUAAAGUUCCAGGAUCCUUCCUGCCAGAGGUUUUGCAUGUCCCUCUUUUUCCAUUGCUUCUCUUGGCCCCUAACAUCUGUUCAUCUCAUUAACUCUUACUCUGUUUUUCAAUUCAAAAACAAUAAUAGCUUUAAAGAAACAUUCCUAACCUUCUCAAAUGCAUUCGUUUUUCUAAUGUAUACUUUAAUAGAACAAUGUACUUCUUCCUCUCAUCUCUCUCACAACAUAAAUUUACCCUAGUGUGAUUUGGUGAUAAAUAUCUGUCACUAUACUAGAUUGUAUAUUCAAGUCAUGUGGAGAAUGUGUCUGUUUUCGUUCAUGAUGGUGUCUACAUUAAAUAAUCCAAUGUGACAAGAAAUAUUUGUUCAAUGAAUGAGCUCCCUGAUGAAUGGAUAAAAUGAUGCUCUGAUAUGUAUGAAUGUUGAUAUUAGACACACUUAUCAAUUAUAUGUACUGUAAAUAGCAUGUAGUAGCAUUUCAAUGAGUAUUUGCUGAUUGACAGAUUUGACUAUCAAUCCCUGCUCUGAUUUCCUUUUGGGAUUUGAUUAUAUUCUUUGUACCCCUUCCAGCUUUAUUAAAGUAUAAUUGACAAAUAAGAU